UAUUCUGCUAUCUUUUUGCUAAGAGAGUGAGACAGUUUUGUUUUGGGCACUGGAAGAUAUUCCUGGGCUCAGCAAAGCUUUGACAACUUUGACUUCUUACUUAUGUCCGCUAGCUUAUUAGGAAUACAUUUUGGGACUACUGUGCGAUACGGGAGAUUAUAUACGUCAGCCUUUCUGAUCGGAGAGAAGACGAAGAGAGAGAAUAGAGGUUGUAGCUACUAUUCUGAAAGGAAGGCGGCCUCAGUAGCAAAGCUCCGAAGAUGCUCGCUGGAGAGAGAGAGAGGGAGGGGGAAAAAAAAGGAAACGUUUCAUUUCCCCGUUCGUAAAAGGAAAGAAAAAAUAGUGUUUCGUGGCAUGAGAAUUGCACAAUUGUAGACAAUCUUGUUAUGCUGACAGGAAGUCCAAAUUUAUGUUUCGUGGCUCACAUUACGCUCCAGGUGGUUGGAAGAUUGUUUGAAAAUUAUAAUAAAUAAUAAGAAUCCUUGCAUUUGA